UACGGAGGGGACUAGCGUUGUUCGGAAUUACUGGGCGUAAAGCGCACGUAGGCGGAUUUGUAAGUCAGGGGUGAAAUCCCGGGGCUCAACCUCGGAACUGCCUUUGAUACUGCAAAUCUCGAGUCCGGAAGAGGUGAGUGGAAUUCCUAGUGUAGAGGUGAAAUUCGUAGAUAUCGGAAGGAACACCGGUGGCGAAAGCGGCGCGCUGGGCCCCUUCUGACGCUGAGGCGCGAAAGCCAGGGGAGCAAACGGG
rnacentral:rRNA from 1 species